GCAACCAAUUUUAUCAAUAUGAACUUUCCAAAAUUAUUACGCUGUUAUCCCUAAGGUAAUUUAUUCUAAUAACUAUAAUAAUAAUCAUUAAACUCAUUUAUCAAAGUUUAAAUUUAAUUAAAGUUUAAAUUUUUAAUUACCCUCCCAAUAAAAUAAUUAAAUUAUAAAUUUUAAAUUAAACUAAUUUAAUAAAUAAUAAAUAAAUUAUAAAAUUCUUAGGGUCUUAUCGUCUAAUAAAUUAAUUAAAGAAUUUUAACUUUAAAUAUAAAUUCAAUUAUUUAAAUUUGAGACAACUAAUAUUUUAUCAAUUCUUUCAUUCAAGUUUUCAAUUAAAAAACUAUUGAUUAU
rnacentral:rRNA from 1 species